rnacentral:rRNA from 1 species
GGACAACAUAGGAAUCUGCCCUGGGGUCGGGGAUAGCGUCGGGAAACUGACGGUAAUACCCGAUAACAUCUGCGGAUCAAAGGAGCAAUUCGCCCUGGGAUGAGCCUAUGCCCCAUUAGCUAGUUGGCGGUGUAAUGGACCACCAAGGCUGUGAUGGGUAGCUGGUGUGAGAGCACGACCAGCCUCACUGGCACUGAGACACUGGCCAGACACCUACGGGUGGCUGCAGUCGAGAAUCUUCGGCAAUGGACGAAAGUCUGACCGAGCGACGCCGCGUGCGGGAUGAAGGUCUUCGGAUUGUAAUCCGCUGUCGAGGGGGAUUAAGGGCAACUUGAAUGAACCCUGGAGGAAGGGGAGGCUAAGCUCGUGCCAGCAGCCGCGGUAAGACGAGCUCCCCAAACGUUAUUCGGUAUCACUGGGCUUAAAGAGUUCGUAGGCGGCGAAGUAGGUGAGGUGUGAAAGCCCUCGGCUCAACCGAGGAACUGCGCUUCAAACCGCUUUGCUAGAGGGAGAUAGGGGUAAGCGGAACAGAUGGUGGAGCGGUGAAAUGCAUUGAUAUCAUCUGGAACACCGGUGGCGAAAGCGGCUUACUGGAUCCUUUCUGACGCUGAGGAA